ACCAAAACAAAAUAUAUCUGCUGUCAUAGCCCUCGUUUAACAUAGAAGACUUCAAGGCAGGAACUUUCCGAUGUGAGCCGGCCAGCCAGGGGCUUUUCUAGGUGACACAAAAAACAAAGGUUUUCAACCCAAAGAUAAUUUGUCUGGGUCCAGUUCAGUCCGCCAAGCAAAGCUCCUGUACAGGAUCAGCUCAUUGACUGAGAGCAUCAGCUGAGUGCACUCGGCCAC